GCUCCAGUGGUGCAAUCGGUUUAGCGUGUGGUACUUAUAAUGCCGAGGUUGUGAGUUCGAGCCUCACCUGGAGCA